rnacentral:tRNA from 1 species
UCGUAGCCUAGCGGGUAAGAUCGCCGGCUGUAGAUUAGCAGGUCGUGGAUUCAAAUCCCAGCA